AGUGAACGCUGGCGGUAGGCCUAACACGUGCAAGUCGAACGGCAGCACAGUAAGAGCUUGCUCUUACGGGUGGCGAGUGGCGGACGGGUGAGGAAUACAUCGGAAUCUACUUUUUCGUGGGGGAUAACGUAGGGAAACUUACGCUAAUACCGCAUACGACCUACGGGUGAAAGCAGGGGAUCUUCGGACCUUGCGCGAUUGAAUGAGCCGAUGUCGGAUUAGCUAGUUGGCGGGGUAAAGGCCCACCAAGGCGACGAUCCGUAGCUGGUCUGAGAGGAUGAUCAGCCACACUGGAACUGAGACACGGUCCAGACUCCUACGGGAGGCAGCAGUGGGGAAUAUUGGACAAAGGGCGCAAGCCUGAUCCAGCCACACCGCGUGGGUGAAGAAGGCCUUCGGGUUGUAAAGCCCUUUUGUUGGGAAAGAAAAGCAGCAGGUUAAUACCCCGCUGUUCUGACGGUACCCAAAGAAUAAGCACCGGCUAACUUCGUG
rnacentral:rRNA from 1 species